rnacentral:lncRNA from 1 species
GGACAAUUCCCCUCCGAGAUGUUGAUCCGCGCGCCACUCUCCUCGCGGAUCCUCUUAACCGACUCCCCUUUCUUCCCAAUGAUGCUUCCUACUUCCUUUCCGUGCAUAAGAAGCCGAAUGAGGAAGACAAACAUAAAGAUGAAGUGCUUAAUUCAAGGUCACACAAUGUCGGGGAUGGACCUCCAGAUUUCCUUACUGGAAAACAAGCUCAGGGCUCCCACUGAUUGUACAUUAUGGUGAGACGUGGUCUUGUAACACAGUGGUUAAGAAUGUGACUUUGGAGCCAGCCUGCUAGGGGCUGAAUUCUGACUCAGCCAUUUACUAACUGUGUGACCUUAGUCUGUCUAGUGACUGGUGUUGUCAUAAGAAGAGAGGGACACAGAGGGAAGAUGGCCACAUGAAGAUGGAGGCAGAGAUUGCAGUUAUGCUGCUGCAAACUAAGGAAUGGCUCUGGCCCUCCAAGGAUUGCUGAUAACCACCAGAAACUAGAAGAGACAAGGAAGGAUUCUUCCCUAGAGCCUUCAGAGGGAGCAUGGCCCUACUGACACCUGGAUUUCAAACUUGUAGCUUCCUAAACUGCAAGAGAAUAAAUUUCUGUUGUUUUAAGCCAUAUAGUUUGUGGUAAUUUGUUAUGGCAGUCCUAGGUAAUUAGUGUACACUCUUACCAUCUUCAUUUUCAGAUAAAGGAAACUGAGGCCCAGAGAAGUCAAAUACUUUGAGAUCUCUGUAGGCCCCUACUGUGCUGGCUGUGCAUAGAUUCCAUACCUCCUGCUGUUGCUGUUGUUGGGUCUCCACCUUUACCAUGGCCAUCACCUCCUG